GUCCCGUUAGCUCAGUUGAAUAGAGCAAUGGCCUUCUAAGCCAUGUGUCGUUGGUUUGAGUCCAACACGGGAUACCA
rnacentral:tRNA from 1 species